AUGAAGGAUGCUGCUGUGAGCCAUGCCACCCCAUCAGCAAGUGUUGAAGUGGACGCUCCCGAGACGAACCUAGGCAAGGAAGAUUCCCGCUCUUCUGACACUGAUUCCAAGCGCGUGCGUGGUGGCACACCUGUGUCCACGACAGAAGCUGCUGAGGCGGCAGUUCAUAAGGAUAUGCCAUCUACAGGUGAGAGUCAUGGCACAACAGCUCCAGCCCCUGUCGAUGCAGAUACUGCUAAGGUGACCGUGGCGCGUGCUGGUCUUCCACCUAGGUGUCGCAGCCCCCGCAAGCAACCAACAGUCAUACCCAAUGCACCGGUUGUACCUAGGAGUAGGAGAGACGAGGCUGGGUAUGUUCCUGCGUCCACACUGUUCCCGCCAUCCGCCAGAAGCAAUGUGACGGAGAAACCGCAAGAUCGGAGCACAAUUGAUGCAGGUGUGAAGCCGGGCACGAGUGACGCAGGUGAACGGCCGAGGCAGACUGCGCCUUUACCCGCAGUGGAAAUCCCCAGCAUAAAUCUACGCACUUUCAGGCUCCCAGUCAAUGUCGGUGUCCCCUACAGCCCAAACAAGAAGAUUGCCAUGAAAGCUGCUGCUGAUACCACCGACAACACGCCCCGCCCUGCAAAUAAGCCCGAACAUUCUGUAGCGGCCGAUUCAAAUAUGUUUGUCGAUCUUUCACCAUUGGAUUCUGCCCCGCAAAUCGUUCGUGGUCUGGCCAGUAGGAAUGAGAGGCACCCAAUGUCAUUUACCCCACCGAGCUUCAGCCUUGGCAUCAGUCAAGAUCAACCGGUGGUGCAUGAUCCUUUGCCAGUUGCCUUUGCUUUCCCAGGAGGCAUGCCCACAAUGAUGGCGCAGCCAAUGGUCGAGGGCAGGAAGGCUGUCAAGUUCGCGGAGCCAAUUGUGCAAGGCACCCCUGAGGAAAUUUCACCGUCACUUGACGAAGCUUACCGCAAGAUCGAGGAGGCAGCAUUGCAGAGGAGGACCUCGCGAGGGCAAGGGCAAUCAAGUUCCAACUUGCCCGCAGAGACGGCAUCUGAGGAUACCAUCAGAAGUGCCACCCCUGGUUCUGUGAGACAGCAGAGGGUAGUUCACCCACCUCCCGCGGAAGACUACGAGCCCGAAUUCAGGGCCACUAAGGAACAAACCCAGCUGUACGACAUCAUCAAGCGGUUUGGAAAUGCGAGGGCCAGCAGCAAGCACAUGAAGGAGUUGAAAGCAUGA
rnacentral:rRNA from 1 species